rnacentral:rRNA from 1 species
UACGUAGGUGACAAGCGUUGUCCGGAUUUACUGGGCGUAAAGAGCGCGCAGGCGGUCGUUCAAGUCGAGUGUGAAAGCCCCCGGCUCAACUGGGGAGGGUCAUUCGAUACUGAUCGACUCGAAGGCAGGAGAGGGUAGUGGAAUUCCCGGUGUAGUUGUGAAAUGCGUAGAUAUCGGGAGGAACACCAGUGGCGAAGGCGACUACCUGGCCUGUUCUUGACGCUGAGGCGCGAAAGCUAGGGGAGCAAACAGG